rnacentral:rRNA from 1 species
AGCGGGGGAUCUUCGGACCUCGCGCUAUCGGAUGAGCCUAGGUCGGAUUAGCUAGUUGGUGAGGUAAUGGCUCACCAAGGCGACGAUCCGUAGCUGGUCUGAGAGGAUGAUCAGCCACACUGGGACUGAGACACGGCCCAGACUCCUACGGGAGGCAGCAGUGGGGAAUAUUGGACAAUGGGCGAAAGCCUGAUCCAGCCAUGCCGCGUGUGUGAAGAAGGUCUUCGGAUUGUAAAGCACUUUAAGUUGGGAGGAAGGGCUGUUACCUAAUACGUGACAGUUUUGACGUUACCAACAGAAUAAGCACCGGCUAACUUCGUGCCAGCAGCCGCGGUAAUACGAAGGGUGCAAGCGUUAAUCGGAAUUACUGGGCGUAAAGCGUGCGCAGGCGGUUGUGCAAGACAGAUGUGAAAUCCCCGGGCUUAACUUGGGAAUUGCAUUUGUGACUGCACGGCUAGAGUGUGUCAGAGGGGGGUAGAAUUCCACGUGUAGCAGUGAAAUGCGUAGAGAUGUGGAGGAAUACCGAUGGCGAAGGCAGCCCCCUGGGAUAACACUGACGCUCAUGCACGAGAGC